AAAAAGGAUCUUUUAAGAACCAAGAAUAUAUUUUAAGAAGUUUAGU
rfam:Octopus bimaculoides Scaffold164333_contig_12, whole genome shotgun sequence.